GGUCCCGUAGUGUAGCGGUUAUCACGUCGCCCUGUCACGGCGAAGAUCGCGGGUUUGAUUCCCGUCGGGACCG
rnacentral:tRNA from 1 species